CCUACGGGUGGCAGCAGUGAGGAAUAUUGGUCAAUGGCCGGAAGGCUGAACCAGCCAUGCCGCGUGAAGGUCAGUGCCCUAUGGGCGUUAAACUUCUUUUGUGCGGGAGCAAUAAUGGUCACGUGUGGCCAGACGAGAGUACCGUACGAAUAAGCAUCGGCUAACUCCGUGCCAGCAGCCGCGGUAAUACGGGGGAUGCAAGCGUUAUCCGGAUUUAUUGGGUUUAAAGGGAGCGUAGAUGGGUUGUUAAGGCAGUUGUGAAAGUUUGCGGCUCAACCGUAAAAUUGCAAUUGAUACUGCCUUGCUGGAAUGCGGAUGCCGUGGGAGGAAUGUGUGGUGUAGCGGUGAAAUGCAUAGAUAUCACACAGAACACCGAUUGCGAAGGCAUCUCACGAAUCCGCGAUUGACGCUGAUGCACGAAAGCGUGGGUAUCAAACAGGAUUAGAUACCCGAGUAGUC
rnacentral:rRNA from 1 species